CGGUCGAGGCUGCACCACUCCAUAACCAUCUCGUUUAGGGCAAGCGCCCGACGGCGGCGUCCGACAGCGACUCUCUCACCUUCUACGACGUCUCGUUCCCCCUGGGCCCACCACGCCACCCACCUCGGUCAGCACUAUCCAUUCCCGUCUCUUUUUUGCCGUCUGGCCGGGUGAUUGUUUUCGGAGAUCGUCCAUUUUUCAACCGCUUUGUCACCCAGCAGUUGUCCUGGAAGGUCGCACCUUGCCUUCAACCUUCACUCAAGCCUCGUUUACUUUUUAGACACUGCUGACAAGAAUGAUCCGUGUGCAUCUCUGCCCCUGCAAAACCCAGUCUUAGGCAGAGGUCUGAAAAUGAAUGGGUGUGAAUCUUUGCCAACUCCCAGCACCCAAAUGAGCACGAACUAAUUCUGUGGAUGAAACAACCUUCGUUACCAUUUUGGUAAAAGUCACAGAAGGUUAAUGUUUCAACUCAGAUGACGCAAGUCACAGCGGCGCAGGAUCAUCCGCAGGCCUCAGUGGAGCCGAAAAGCCUAGAGAUUCAUCGUGAAAUCCAGAUACUGCGGGCCGAGUUUACAGAGGAGAAUCCACUUGCACUUUUCCAGCCCGAUAUUGUUCGCAUCGCGCGGGGUGACACCACUUUGCCAAACAGUGGCACAGUUGCCCCCUGACCUCCGUGCAGCCUCCUUCCCUGUUCUAGGGGACAGUGAGGGGUCAAGAGUUACUUUUUCUGAACAGGGGAUGUACAUAAUUCUCCCAAACUCGGCAUUCGUGAAUAGAAUUCGACUGUUGCAUUCUCAACACUCCGAUAGUGCAGUUAUCAGAAGUGUCAAAGACCGACUUUUUAACGGGUGGAAGAAAACAUUUUUAUCUGGGCCCGUUUGGGGAAGAUUCCUUAAAUUUCAGAAAGGAAUCGAUGUCACAGUUUGAAAAUGAGAAGUAAGGCUGUAGAGAAUAAUGUUACCAGAUUUACUGUUUCAAUGAGGAAGCCGAGAAUCGAAUAAAGCAUAAUAUGAAAUGAAAACCUGUUUUCAUAACAAUUUUUAAAUGGUCCAACCUGUUUUCAUAACAAUUUUUAAAUGUUCCAAACAGUCGUUGCUCUUACGACGGGGGAAAGCAAUUUGCCAUUAGUACGUGAAAACUUACACAAUGGCCCCAUUGAAUAAAUUUUCAAAACAGUAUACAUCACCCGACCCUGUCCUUGCCAUGUAGUCCACCGCU